rnacentral:lncRNA from 1 species
CAAAUGACAGUUGUGUUUAAGGCCACAGUUUUAUUUAAGGUCAUCAUAUUCCAUUUUGAUUCGUAGUUCAUUAUCCUUUAUUUUCCGAGGACCUGAAUAGGACACGAUGGAAAUAUUCAAGGGUUUGGUUUUGGGCUUCAAAGAUUGGAUACUUUAUUUGGUCUUGAAGUAGAAUGCCCUAUUCCCAAGUCUAAGUACUGAAUCCAGAAAACAUGGAGUGCUCCGACAAUUUUUAGAUAGGUAUUAGAGCCUCCCUGUUGAAAAAACCCUAUAAGAUUCAAAACUUGUGGACUUUGUUAACUUUAAAACAUUCAAGAAAUUGAUAGAAGUGUAUUCCCAGAGGAAUCUCUCAUUAAAGUCUUAGGAUGUACUAUCUAGAGAAGGGUUUCCCAAACUUUUUCAGGCUGGCACCAUCUUGGCUUCAAUAUAAACUUCAAGCGCCCCUCCCCAUAAAUACAUAGGUAUAAGUAUUUCUUCCAAUUGGAUUUGAAAAAAGCAAGGCAAUUACACGGGAGACUCGCUCUACCAAAUAUGAUGUUGGAAAAGCAAUUAAAUAUAAUUUCACUGAAUUUCACAAUACUGAAAAGAUACAUACAUAUACAUUUUUUUGUAGCCAAAAUUUUUAUAUGAUAUCUUGAACUUUGGACUUUGCUCUCAAAACUUUUCUAUCUCAAAAUUGGAGACAGCGACGGUGGAUGGUUGAAAUUCAAUUAUUGAUACCUUUUCAUAAUAAUAAAAUAUCUGUAUUAAGUGCAACGAAGCGACGCUUGGCAAAACGAAGAAUAUAUUUUUGGAGUUGGAAGAGAAGAAUAUCAACUGAAUCGAUCAAAAUUGCUCGAAUAAGUUUUCACGUCGGAUUAUAUAAUCAUUGGAGUUUGUACUGUAUAUUCUUAUUUAGGUAUGUUUAUAUUAAUUUUAUUUUUCAGGAGUUAAUGGAUUUGAUGAAAUAUAAGUUCCUUUCCAUGAUACCAUUUACGUUCAUUUCUUAA